UCAGCAUCUGCAUCUGCUUUUAAUCAUGACACCAUCUACCUCAACAAGAAACACUUGUAUUUUGCUGUUUUAUCUGAUUUUUACAAUUCUACACGUCAAGGUUAUUGGUUAUAACGGAUGUUACCAGGCAUCCAAACAGGGAAUCUCGAGAUGUCAACGCUGUACUCAAGAGUGUUCUGAGGAUAGAAAUGAGAUGGAAGUUACUCCAUGCACUCAGGACAACAAUAGAUCAUGCUUCUGUAAACCAGGGUUUUACUGUACAAAAGGAAACAAUUAUGUCACACACUGCCAUAAACCAUGUGUUCCCUGUGGGAAGGGUACAUUCUCCAGCAAACCCUCUCUGGGAGCCUGCAAGCCUCAUAAAAAUUGUGCUAAGUUGGGGAUGAUAAUGCUCAAAGAGGGCACAGCGACACAGGACAGACAGUGUGUGAAUGUCACCACAGUGAUGCCAUCCUUGUCCACUACCACAAAUAUCAUUACUACAUUCCCCAUCACUAACACUUCCAUCCCCUGGACAGGGGUCACUGCACCACUCAUAGACACUUCAGAGGAAAGCCAGUCCCAUUGGCUGCUGCUAUUGAUCUUAAUGUUGAUAAUCUUGUUCAUGGCUGGAUUCUGUAUGCUGGUGAAAAACGGGGCAAAGAUAACGUUUUUAAAAUGGCAUGGUUUAAUAAACGGAGGACAUGAAGAUCAUCAACUCUCGAGUCAAACUGCAGGUGAUCAUCAAAUUUCAUCCAAUUCCCAAUCCCACACCUUGGAGACCGAGAUACCUCUCGGCAGUGAUGGCAGAGAGGUCAAAGGUCAGAGUACGGGGCUGACGCCCCAAUCUGGGGCUGUGCAGCAGGUCACAAUGGAGCACAAUGGGAAGGGUGAGAAUGUCAGCAAUACUGUUGGGUCCAUCUACAUCUACUCUCCUGGAAUGGUGAUUUUGGGCUCCAACUCGGGUGAUAAAAAGGAAGAGGCAGGAGUUUGCGAAGAAGGCGUUCCCCUCAUCAGCAGACCACAGCAAGAGUCAAAUCCACCCUCGCAAGAGAUCAGAAUAAAAAUAAGUGCACAGGAAGAGGCCGAGGAGGAACUGAACUUGAGUUUUCCUGUGCCGGCAACUGGAAAGUGAGAACUCGAACGUGGUUUCUUGCAUCUUUCAUGAUGGCCUUUAGGAAGAUUCCAGGUUUGAAUCACAAGGCUGAAAAUCACAAGUGGCCAGAUAUAAGAUUCCUGGUAAAGCAUAACAUCAGCAAUGGCCAAGUCAUGGUUUCAGUUCCAGAGAAACAUGCACGCUGGCAAAAUGUACAGGCUACCUUGAUUGCACUGUAUGUCGAAUACGGAAUGCGCAGAUGUACAAGAUGGAAAACGCUGAGUAAUAACUUUUGCUUUCUUGCACAUAAAGGAAAAGAUUUAUGCUUAAUUUAAGUUGAUCAGUUUUUUGAAAUGCAAAUGUCUGAAUUGCUGCUGCAGCGAAAAUGAGACAAACUGUGCACAGGAGCGUACAGACGAAAGGGUGAGAAAAACGCCCUCAAAGGUGUUAUGAGUUUUCAAAAUGAAUAUCCUAUAAGACAGAGGCAGCAUAAGUGAAAUGCACAUGAUGUGUAUGAAUUGUUUUAUUGUUUAAGCGAGUGGUCGAGAACCUAACAACUGCGUCUGUAUGUUUCUAAUCAGACUUUUGUUCUACUAUGUGGGUGUUUCAUAUGCAUGUCUAAAAAUACCCAACCUCACCUUCGGAAAGAAGGUGUCUGAUUUGACUGUUGUAGGAGGUCUGCCCUGCC
ensembl:lncRNA uncharacterized LOC107702006